CAUCGCCCAGCCCUAACAUAUUUGUUUAGAGUUGUUCUGGCUUGUAAAUGGUGCUUAAUUUGUGCAGAUUUCUUUUCUGAUUCAGUCCAGACUACUUUUCACUGGAAGAUGUGUUAUUAUGGAUUAUGCACUCUAUAGAUUUUAGUUAAAACUUCUUGAUGAUGGAUUUGUUUCAGCUUUUGUCUUCUCCUGAUGGACUGGAGUGGUGUGGAUUAUUGUGAUGUUGUAAUCAGCUGUUUGGACUCUCAUUCCGACGGCACCCAUUCACUGCAGAGUAUCCAUUGGUAAGCAGGUGAUGAAAUGCUACAUUUCUCUAAAUCUGAUGAAGAAACAAUCUCAUCUACAUCUUGCAGUACAUUUCCAGCAAACAUUCUUUCAUUUAUUUUUUUCAUAAAAUAUUCUUUUAGGCUUUGAAAAAAAUCAGCAAGCUCUUGUUUCUUCAAAUCAUCCUUUGGGUCUGCUAUUUUGAAUGCAGCUACAAAGCAGAGCAGAUUAUGAAGCUCCUCGAUCCUCAGCAGGGAAUUUCACACCGGCACACGCAGACCUCUGGUUUUGUCGUGGCAUGUUGCAUAUGCCUUCCUGUACAGGAGCGUGUUCUUCUCUCUGAAAUCAGCUGAGCAAGGUGCCCUGCGCCCGCAGGUUACUGCCAGCCGUGGUGAAUGAAUUUCGACAGCUGCACGGCCACAGAUAGUCACAUUGUGUCAUGACAGAGCUGGGGCCAAAGAGAGGGAGGAAUACAGGAGAGGAAGAGCCUCUCGCUGCUGACCUGAGACCUGUCAAAGCCCCUUCAGCCUGCUGUGCCAUCACGUCAACAACAUCUGCUAACAAUCUGCCUACAAUUAGUCAGAUGCCCGGGAAGCUUUCGUCAAGCGACACCUGUUCAUUCUGCCAUCGCAGGAGGACACGUUCUGGCAGAGGGCCGAAUUAAACACACCGCUUUCUGCUAAAAUACAGAAAAUAGUGCAGCGGACGUGAUCAGUCCCUUCAGGGCAGGUCGGUCCAAUUGGCAAAGCAUCUUGCUGAGGCCUUCAGGCAGCUAUUUCCAGUCUUGAAGGUUUCUGUGGUUGCACUGCCACCCUUCUGCAACACGCUGUCAGGUUUACAAACGAUGGAAAGCACGUGUGACGACUGCACGAACGCUACAAUUAAUGCACGAUUUCUGGGAUCGAACAAAUCUGGAUUUAUUGGAUUUACCAAAAUUUGCAUGCUUUUGGCUUCACAAGACCUCAAUUGAUGGACUGGAGUGGGAUGGAUUGCUUGUGGAUUAUUCUGAUGUUUUUAUCAGCUGUUUGGACUCUCAUUACGACGGCACCCAUUCACUGCAGAGCAUCCAUUGUGGUGAAAGAAUCCACCUCCAGCAAUCUGCAGCAUCAAACUCAUUGGUCUUCAGUGAAAGAUGUUGACUUUUAAUUGAUGGAUGGCCGCGGUGGCAAAGGGCAUGUGUUGACUGAAUUUGUCUUUGAUAUGAUGCAUCAUGCACCGGAGCAAUUUAUAUACAACAACAUGACAUAAAAACAAUUCUAUGCAAACAUGGAAUGAUCUUUAAAACCAUAACUGUUGCAAACGAAACUAUUGCAACACCAGUACAGCGACUGUAGACAUGCAGGUGAAUAGAGCUUCAAGUUGUUUGGUUCUGUAUAAAAUUAAUUUAAUGUUUUACCCAGUAUUUCCAGUCCAGAGCAACAGGCCGACUGUCACUUCUCCAAUUCCUCAAUCUUACUUUGUCUUGGCCUCCAUCCUGUAGUCUAUUAAAGUGUCUCUUACUUCAGUGUACUUCCUCCACCGUACAGUUUUAUGGUGUAGAGCGCUAACUCAGCACCGCAACCCUUAAAAAACACACUAGGGUUUUAUAGCAUCAAAGCAUGUAGACGUCCUGCUAUAAGAACAGAUGGUGCCAGACUGCUAAUGGUUUGCUGCUUCUCGCUCUGUGCUGUGCAUCUUGUAAUUGACCCUUUUAAAUCUACGGCGUCGGAGUGCCAACGCAUUACAUGUGCAUCCUUUUAAUGGAAUGUUUUUCUCCACCUUUUAAUUAUAAGAUGUCUGUACGUACGUUAGAGAUGGCGCAUCGGAGCUGGCUGUCAAGGCUGGACAGAUUUAUGGCCCUUCAUGCCCUUGGUUGGUAAUGAAUGUCAGCAAGAGUCUGCUAGCAUGUUUGCUUGAAUGUUAAUGUUUGUUGUUUUAGGGCAAUAUCUCUCGCAGUAGCCUCAAAAGCUUUUUUAACAUUUGGAAGAAGUGGCCUAAAUGAUGCUUUUAACAUUUAACGUGAUC
ensembl:lncRNA